AACCUUAAAACCCUAAACUUUCAAAUCUAAACCCUAAAACAUCAACUCUAGGGUUUUAGGGUUUAGGGUUUAGAGUUGAAGGUUUAGGGUUUAGGGUUUAGAGUUGAUGUUUUAGGGUUUAGGGUUAAUUUUUAGGGUUUAGAGUUGAUGUUUUAGGGUUUAGGGUUAAUUUUUACGGUUUAGGGUUUAGAGUUUACUCUUUAGGGUUUAGGGUUUAGUGUUGAUAGUUUAGGGUUUAGUGUUGAUGAUUUAGGGUGUAGAGGUGAAGUUUAGGGUUUUGGGUUUAGAGUUGAUGUUUUAGGUUUUAGAGUUGAAGGUUUAGGGUUUAGGGUUUAGAGUUAAAGUUUCGGGGUUUAGGGUUUAGAGUUGUUGUUUCAGGGUUUAGGGUUCGUAUUUAUAAAAAUAUAGGGUUUAGGAUUGAUGGUUUAGGGUUUAGAAUUGAGUUUUAGGGUUUAGUGUUUGAAUUUCGAAAUAUGGUUUAAUGGCUUAGGGUUUAAAAUUAUUUUUUAUUUUUUUAGAAUUUUUAUUUAUUUAAAUAUUUAUUUAUUAUUUUAAUAUUUAUUUAUUAUAUACAUAAGAGUCUUUUAUCAUUUAAUGAAUAAAAUGUUUUUGAAAAUGUCCAUUUAGUAAUGGUAAAAAUGAAAUGUGGUAUCAUGAAAGUGGUAAACAAAAAAUUUUCCCUAUAAAGAGACAAAUGACGUCAGUUAACUCAUAUACAACUCUUGUUUUUCUUCCUAUUCAACUCAUAAGCCACAUAAAAGGAAUAACCAUGAUUGAUACUCCGGUUUGAGUGAUCAUAAUGGAAAAAACAGAAUCACUUUUAGAGAUGAACGAAGGUUAAAACAAAUAACUUGAUUUACCACCAAAGUAAUGAAUUUAUUGAUACUAUAAUGUUGGGACUUUGAAAUUUUAUUAAUGUAUAUAAAUAUUAAUUUACAAAAGUUUCCUUAUUUAGAUUUCUUAUUUUAAGAUAUAUUUAUUCUGAGAUAAGAAAAAUAUUUGAUUUUAGUGUAUAGACAUUAAUUGUUAUUUUUUGAAAUUUGACAUUUAUAUUAAUUUUAUUAUAUUGUUUGGUGUAUAUAAUAUAUUUAUUACAUAGAACUUAAAUGUGGUUUUAGAUAUAAUAUAGAGAAUUUGACAAAUAUGACUCAAAACUUGACUUUGAUUGCAAAAGUAUACCCAAACUUGAAUCAAAUGCAAAAGUAACCUAAAAACCUUGUAAAAUUACAGCCAGUCCCUUGUGACCAAACAAAAAAACAUAACUCAUUUUUAUGAAUAUAGCCCCGAUAAGUCUUCUAAGAUUCUGUUAAGUCUUCUGGACAACGUCCACGGAAGUCGUAUGAUAUAGUUGAUCUUAAAAAUAAUUGAUACAUUUUGUAAAACAUAUUCUGAUAAGCGAAAAAUGAAAAUUAUGUAAUUAUAAACAGUUUUAAGUGAUAUAAAUUAAGAUAUAAUAAAAUUGAAUUGUUUUCAAUAUAGAUGAGUGAAAGUAGUGAAUCAUGAUAUUCUUUGGUCAAGGGUUUGGCAAAAUAUGUUGUAGUAUUGUAUGUAUUCUUAGGGUUAGAUUUUGGAAAGCUUAAAUGUUUUUUUGAAAAAUUCAAUUUUUACCUACAUGUGAUUAUUUCUGUGUAUAGUAAACACUUUUUAAGUUUAAUUUGAUUUUAUGAAGUGUUUAGAUAGUUAAUUUAGUUUAUGGGUUAUGUUUAGGGUCUAGACGACUAACAUGUAAGUCGUCUCGUGAUUAGAAGACUUCUUCUAACUCCCGCUAAAAAUAUUUUAGUUUCCGGCUAAAAAUAUCGAAGUGUUUCUGGACGACUUACAAGUAAGUCAUCUAGUAAGUCUUCUGAUCAAAAAUAUUUAACCUUAUUGGAAUUUUGCCUCCUUAUAUGAAGAAACAUUUAUACAUUCUCUCUCUUCCUCUCAAAUGGCUGCAACAAAAAUGGUAUGUUCCUCAUUCUAAAGCUCCCCAACCUCUCUCUAAUCUUUUUGAACUUAUAAACACCAAAAUUUAUAUCAAUUUAUUGUUUUUGUCUCAUGUAUUUCUCACUAGUUUAUCUUGUUUUGCAGGUUUUUCAUCACAUGGUUCUCAUCUUCCACUCAUUUAAAGGUAGAUUUAUUAAUUUUAGAUAUGUAUUUUUGUGUGUUCUAUAAAGGUAGAUCUAUCUAAUCUUCCACUUAUUUUCUCUGUUUUAAGCCAUUUGAACGUUUUUAGAGAUGCAAGUUUUUCAGAUCUGGAUUUGGAUAUGCAAGGUUUUCAAAUCUGGAAGACUUCUGGGUUGGAGGACUUCCAGACGACUUCCAGGAAGUCUUCUGAAGGAGUCUUCUCCCAUGUCUCCCUUUCAUAAUAGAUAUGAGCGUUUUGGUAAGUUUGUAUGUCUGAUUUUUCUUCAUUUGGUAACCUCCUGUUGCAUAAAGCUCAUACCUUUUUCCCAAACUAAAACUCUCCAAACCCACUCUAAUCUCUUUGACUUGAAAACACUAAAUUUUAUAUAAAUUUUUCAUUUUUGUCUCAUGUCUUUCUCAUUAAUCUAUCUUUUUGUUGCAGGUUUUAAUCAAAUGCUUCUCAUCUUCCAUUUGGAUAUGUACUUUGUGUAUUCUAUAAAAGUAUGUAUAUAUAAUUUUCCACUCAUUUUCUCUGCUUUUAAGCCAUUUGAACGUUUUUUGAUAUGAUAUGCAGGUUUUUCAGAUCUGGGUUUGAUAUACAUGUUUUUCAGAUCUGGAUCAAACUUUGGAAGACCUAUGGGAAGUCAAUUGCGAAACUAACUUCUGCAUUGACCAGGAGACUUCCAUGUAAGUCGUCUACAGCCAGACGACUUACCCAGAAGUCGUCUGGACGAACAUAUCUGGAAAAAAACUAAUUUCAUAGUUUCAACGAGUGAGAUAACUUGUUUAGCACACAAAAGUAUUCUCCAAGCACCCAGAACCUCAAACAAAAGUGACCCACCAAGAAUCGUAAGUUUCAAUGGCUCUAUAAACCAUAAAAAUUUUAGAAUCAAAAUCUUGGGUUUUUUUUGGAUGAAUAUUGAGAGAAAGUAAAGAGAUGUUUUUAAUUCAUAAGAAUUGAGAAAGAAAGAGUGUAAAUCGAUUUUUAGGUGCAUUAAACGCUUCAAAUUGGUUGUUCAUGGUGGUUGGUGUAUUGAUGACAAUGACAAUAUUGUGAAUACAUGAGGAAGAUGAGAGUGAUAGAGUAAAAUAUGCAUUUUCGUAAAAAAAAAAAAUGAUGACAUUUUCGUGAAUAAUCGGAACUUUGGGGAUGAAAGAGGCAAGUCAAAGUUCUAAAAAAACAUGGGUUAGUUUUGUGUUUGACUUCAAGUUUUGAGUCACAUUUGUAAAAAGCCCAUAUAAUAUUAUUAAAUCUCAUCAAAAAUAUAUUAAGUUUUUAGAAAAUAUAAAGAUAAUUCUAUUAUGAAUAUAAACAAACAAAGUAAUAACAGAUUCUUACUUAUAUAAAAAAUUUAUACAUAUAAAUUAUUAAUUUAUAAUUUUAGUGGGACCAUAUAUUUACAUAGAAUUUUCUAAAAAAAUAUUAUCUUAUUAUUUUAUCAAUUUAUGUCAAAUUUUGAACCGGCCCAAAUUGGGACCGACGAAAUUUAUUAAUUUAUAGAUAUUAUUAAUUUAUCUAGUAUUAAUUUACAAAAAUAAAAGGGUGUGAAAGAUAAUUGUAAAAAGGUACGAUCACCAAACUCAUCCAUAAGGCGUAUGCGCCUUUUUGUUUUAGUUAGAUAAUUGGUUGCAACCAAUUGCAUAUAGUCUCAUUUUUCAUUCCCCCGACCUUAGUCAUAUGUAGCUUUAAGUUUUUUUUUAAACAAAAAAUGGUACUUUUCAGGUUAAUUUUUGGAAAACCAAAACUAAUGGACCUUGUAAAAUAGACAGACAAAAACUGGCAAUUAAAGAUCUGAGAGAACAAAAAUUUAAUGCCAGACAAAAACUAUUCCAUAUGAAGAGACAAAUGACGUCAAUUAACCCAUAUAGAACUCUAAUUUUUCUUCCUAUUGAACUCAUAAUCAACAUAAAAGGAAUAACAAUGAUUGAUGUUGCGGCUUGAAUGAUCAUAAUGGAAAAACAAUAUCACUUUAGAGAUUGAACGAAGGUUAACACAAAAAAAUUAAUUUAUCACCAAAGCAAUGAAUUUACGGAUACUAUAAUCAUGAAGUUAAUUAUAAAAAGGAAGUUACAGAAAAUCAAAGGGUGUGAAAGAUAAUUGUAAAUAUGUAUGAUUGCCAAACUUUUCACUAGUUUUGAGUGUAUAUUUGAGUGGUAAAUUUUGUAACAUCGCAAAUGAAAUAAAACCAAUGUUAGUGUUUCAGUUUCUUCGCCUUUAAUAGGAGGCUGUUUGUUUCAUCAUUUGUCAUCUCCAUCUGAUGAGGACCUCCUAAAAAUUAAAGUUGUCCAAUUGGACAAAAGUCCAUGAAACCCAAAUUAGAUGGGUUUAACCCACUUGAGCAUGGACAGUCCAAUAAACAUAUACAAAUCUAGGAUUUUCUAAUUUUGGGUGUAAAUCACAUUUUACCGCCAAAACCGCAAAUCACGUUUUCUACCAAAACCGCAAAAUCAUGUUUUUUGUCAAAACCGUAAAAUCAUGUUUUUUCACCAAAAACGCAAAAUCCCAUUUUUCUACCAAAAACCAUAAAAAUAAAUUAUUCCCCCAAAUUUGUAAAAUCAUGUCUUCUCGCCAAAACUGCAAAAUCAUGUUUUCCCGCCAAAACCGAAAAAAACAUGUUUUCCCGCUAAAAUCUCAAAAUCAUAUUUUCUCACCAAAACCGCAAAAAUCACGUUUUUCUGUCAAAACCAAAAAAAAAUUUCCCGCCAAAUUUAUAAAAUCAUGUUUCCCGCCAAAAGCGCAAAAAUUAUGUUUUCCCGCUAAAGCCGCAAAAUUACGUUUUUCCAUCAAAACCGAAAAAAAAAAUUCCCACCAAAUUUGUAAAUUGUGUUUUUUUUUUCCAAAACCGUAAAAUUUAUUAAAAUCAUUUUUUUGUCAAAUCGUAAAAUCAUUUUUUUUUUUACAAAACUACGAAGUUACAUUUUUGGUAAAAUCACUAAAAAAUUAUUUGUCUAACAAAAAAAAUAUAAAAUUGAUAUUUUUGAGCUCGGUGGAUAAUCCAUCUCGUUAUGAUCCUAUUUGAGAUUGGUCUUAUUUGGACGGUGUUUAUUUGGGCUUCGACAAUUCAUGUCCAAUAAAUAAGAUUGUCCAACUGGACAAACCCAUUUGGACAUAGACAAUCCAGUUGACAUCCCUAUCAUCGACAUCAUAGCAAAUGCUAAUCCUGAAAACCACCAACCAGAAUCAAUUAUCAAUGAUUACCAAAUGCAAACACUAAGUUAGCAUUUUGGAGUGUACCUUGUUGGAUGAUUGAUUAAAGUACAAGCCCUUUCAUGUGUUGUUUCUAAAACAUGAAUCCUGUAGGAGGCUUGUCUUAUCCGUUACCAUAGAUUAAGAACUGCGACUCUUUCAUGAACCGCUCUGCGGAACCAAGCUGCAACAGUCUCUCCCUCAACAUUGUCGUCACGUCAGGUAAUCCGGACACCCCGGAGAGAACCCGACUAGCGUCUAAGUAUACCUCCGCUGAAGACAUCCUGGAGAGCCACUUUUUUCACCCCGUUUUAAUCGACGGUAGCCAGCGGGAUUCGAACCAUUCUAAAUGAAGUAAUUAUGUGUUUGUUUUGGGGUUUGAUAGCUAAUUGUAAUUAUUUAGUAAUGAAUACUUACACAAAAUCUGUCAAUAAUGAGUAAAAAAUAAUCAACGUGUUUCAACUUUACACGGACGAAAAAAAAACUUAGGCAGUCUAGACGGAAAUUUGGCAGGAAUUAAACGAUCAACGCGGGAAUUAAGUGGUCUUACACGGGUCAACGUCCCGAUUUGGGCAUAUUCGCCGCAGUCAACCUCUGAACAACGCAUAGGCGACUGCGUUUUUGAACAAGGGACAUAACACAUAAGUAUGCAAAGUUUGUUGAGGCUGUAGAUUCACUUAUUUGGUGAGAGAUUUCCUUUUUUUUUUCUGCACCGAAUUAAAACAUAAGUGACACAUAUUCUUAUUUACUUUCAUUGCUUAUGUUCCUAGCAAAAAUACAAAAAUUCCCAAAUCAUAAUUAAUUUUCAAAGUUUUUCAUCUAAUCUUAAUUUAAUAGAAUUGCAAGUUCAGUGAAUUAAGACAAUCUGAAUCUGGAUCAAUGUGCUGAAGGUUGAGCUAACAAUUCACACAUCACUCACUGCCGUUUGAUCAUAAUGAAGUUCAGCUUCAGCCGUCAGUCUUCCCUUAAUCCGAACUAGAGGAGCCAUGCUUUCCAGCAUCAAUCUUUUUUUUUUUUUGAAAUAUAUAUUUUUAUUCAACCCGAAUAAUCGAGAAAUCAGAUCUUGUUACAAAACCACUUUGAACAAAAGUUUCAAAGUCAAACUAUUACAAAACUAGCUUCGUCCGCCCACUAAACCGGAACAUUCCGCUAGCACGUUUUCAAAAUCUUUUGGAAUCGGUUACUGUUCUCUACCUUUGAUGAACACCACGAGAAUGUGAGGUUCUCCUUGUUGCCUCGGAUGCCGGGACUUUCCAUGUUGUCUCCAGAGUAGCUAGUUCCCGAUGAAAUCCACAAAGCUUAUAACCGUCACUGUCUAUGAAAUACUAGACGACCAAUAGGAGAGGGUUUCGAGUACAUACCGCAAGAGGCCUUGCAACCGCCACCAAAUCUGGGCAUGUACACAACACCACAAAGCGCUUGAAACCGAGUCCCAAACCGAGUAAGCACCCGGUACUGCCGUCACCAAACCGAACAGAAAGAAAACAGGCUAAUUUUGCUGACACCACCAAACAAGUAUGCCUCCAUAACCUGCACAAAAGGUCAAGAACACCACACCAGGAGUGUACAAUGACCAAGUGUUGACACUAAGCCGGUCAAUGACUCCCGAGAACCGGUUCGACAAAUGUGGACUUCGAGAACCGAAGACCCAUAACUAAGCUGAUAAACCUCCUAACCGGUGUUGCGGGAAGAGGUACACCAAGAAAAAACUAAAGGCUGAAAUCCGAUACAGAAACCGCUGCUUCCUCACAUAUGAACUUGAAAGGUAGCCGUGGGAGGAGAGAACAAGAUGACGUAGAUCGACAAGAAGCCUACCAACUGGCCAUAAACGACAAUCAAAGCCACUGCUUAUCUAACCACAUGAACCUUGAUAGAAACCUAGAACCAUUCCCGCCUGCGAACCAGAUCUCUAGAUUCGCCUUCAGAGGAAACGACCCAACGAAUCACACCUAACAACAGAGAGAGAGGAACUGUACCACAUCGACACCGGUGAGGCCAAGAGCCAAACACCAUUGAAGGAUGAUUCCUCCACCAGAACCACCACACAGAAUUGCAGAACCGAGAGAAGAAAAAAUUCCGCCUCACCUCGCCUCGACAACGACAACAAAAUUCGGACUAGAUCUGAAGGAAAAAAUCGAUCUGUUCCAUAGAGCCAAAAGCUGACCACCCCCUAGGCCACCGCCUCCUCAGCCUCAACGAGAAUCCAAUCGUAGCAUAGACGUUGCCUAGGACACCCACCACGGGAGCAGUGAAGAUGUCAGUUGAAAACCCUACCCAAGAUCCGCAACAUAUCGACAAAGAGACAAAGAAAUCGGAGAUUAGCAACACAAAAACAAGAGUAAAGGGGAGAGGAGCUUCCCCGCGACGCUCACGCGCUAGCCGGACGCCAGAGCCGAGAAGACCACACACGCGUAAGAGAGAGAGCUAAGGAGAGAGAGACUUUGGGGAGAGAGAAAGGCUUGUGACUAACAUCAUCAAUCUCAUGGUUGGUUUCCGGAAUGAGUGGAUAUUUUCCUGGUUGGAUUAUGUACUAUCUUCUUCUUCUUUUUUUGGACACAAUUAUCUUUUACCAUUUUCCUAAAUUAGAUUAAAUUAUAAAGAAAAUCCAUUUUAGGUGCAUAUGGAUAACAUUUUCAGUUUGAGGACCAUAUCAUUCAUUGUUCCAUUUUUUUUUCAUGCAUAACGAUGAUUUCUUAUUCUUCAUUACUAAUAUGACUUGUGAGCAGAGCAAGCCUUGCCUGAUCUAUUAAUACAUUUGCCUUGAAUCUUCGUGUUUACAAAAUUUUGUUUAAAAGAAAACUUCUACUAAAAAGCCUAAAUUGAAUAAAAGCUACCAAUAUAUUCAAUUUGAUAGGCUAAAUAAAAAAAAUAUUAAAUAUCUUUUUCUUAAAUAAUUUGAUAUUUCAUUUAUUUUUUUAACCGUAUAAAUUAUUUGUACAUUAAAAUUCUUCCAAUUUUUUCGGUUGUGGAUCUUAUUAUCACAUGGUUAUUGAUAAAGUAUUCAUUUAAUGGAAAACACGACUUUGGAAACUUAAAAACAGAGUGUUCAAAAAAAAAAUUCAAAGAAAAGAUCUCUAAAGUAUUCAAUCCACAUCCCUUUUGGUUUGUUCCAAAAUUUAUUUUGUACUAAGCAAUUGUAAAACUAUUGACAUGGAAAAGAUACACACAUAAAAUCUCUUUAAAAAUAGAAACUAUACACAUGUUAGUACGUAUAUGGGAACAACUCCCAUAACCUAGGAAUGUGAGCUAAUACUUGCGGGACUCGUCUAGUUAUAUUCUUUUUUUUUGGUCGAAAAAGGUAGUGUCACCCAGUGCCGGUCCUGAGAUAUUUAUGGUCCUAUACGAAAUACAAAAAAGAGGCCCUUCGAUAACACAUAAAAAAUUUGUCAAUAAAAAUGUUAAAUUUAUGAUUGAAAAUUACAAUAUCUUUAAAACUAGUAAAUUUUUUUUUUAUCAAUUCUUAAAUAUUGGUUUUUUACCUUUUUUUCUACAAAAUCAUCUAUCAAACUUUCAUAAUCAAAUGCUUUUAUCAUAUCUCUUUUAAUCCAUAACAUUGAAGACAAUUAUGUUAAAUUAUUAUAUUUCUUUUAAUCCACUCAUAUUAAAUAACACUAAAGGCUAUAUAAAACUUAGUUGUCUUUUAUUUAGAGAUGGCCCAUCACCUUCUUAACUUAUCGAACCCAAAUAGUUCAUUCCAGCGUGAAUGGAACCCAAAUAGCGGUAGUUACAGUUGCAGCCCUUUUACCACUAGGCCAACUCAACCUUGGUUCGUCUAGUUAUAUUCUUUGCAGGGGGAAGUUGGUAAACAGAUUUCAGAUAUUUAAAAUACGGGUACAAAUGUAUAUUGAUUUUCUUUUAUGUGAGAUGGGUGUAUGUCUGUCAAAUUUAAAUUAUAUAUACCGACUAAUGCGUAAUUUCCUUAAAAAAAUAAAAUUAUUUAACUACAAAAUUUUAUAUUGUUUAUAAAUAGUAUAAUAUAUAUAUAUAUAUAUUGAUUAAAAAUUAAUCUAUUUUUAAAUGUGUUUAUUUAUUUACUAUAUAACUUAUACUAUAUUUUUUUAAUAAAACUUGUUUUUGUUUUAAUUAAUAAUUGCAUGUAUCCUGCAUGUCAUCCAUAAAUUAAAAAAGGAUGAGUGCAAGUGUAAUAUGUACGCUCCAUAGGAAAUUUUGGCGAUUUUCUAGGGUUUGUGAUUUCUCACCGUCGCCGUUGUGGCUUUGAUGAGGCAUCCUGAAGAUGGGGGACUGCAGACAGUGAAGGUGAUAACGCAAGAGAAACAAGUUGGUGUGUAUGCAUCAGUGGUUCAGAAGAAGCAUACUCUCAAGAAAUUUGACGUAAAUCUGACGGUGGUUGAUGGGAAACCAUAAGUCGAGAUACCCGAUGAGAUCUAUGAUAACUCUGAGCCUCUCUGGGAAGAUUUUUUGAUCGGAAAAUUUCUCGAAACAGCUCCACACAUUGCAAAAGUUCACGUCAUCAUAAACAAAAUUUGGAACCAAGGAGAUAAAAACCAGAUAAUUGAGGUCUAUGAAGUGAAUUCAACAGCAAUGAGGUUCAAAAUUCCGAAUCCUCAGAUUCGAUCAAGGGUUCUUGGAAGAGGGAUGUGGAACAUUGCGGAAGUUUCUUUGGUGGUGUCAAAGUGGUCUCCUAUGGUUGAGAAGACAAAAGAAGAGAAAACUUCAAUUCCAAUAUGGGUUUCUCUGAAAAAUGUCCCUAUGAAUAUGUUUUCAUGGGAUGGGUUGAGUUUCAUGACAAGUCCAGUGGGUAGGCCAAUUCGAGUUCAUACAGAGACAACUUCUUGUUCACAAUUUGAUGUAGCUAAGAUCUUUGUUAAUGUUGAUCUGACUAAGGAGCUUCCGAAAUCGAUUAAGUUCUCAAAGAAUGGCAAAGGCUUCCUAGUGGAUUUCAUCUUUCCGUGGUUACCAAUCCGUUGUAAGCUAUGUGAUCAAUGGAGUCACUCGGAGAACAAGUGUGUUAUGAGUAAAAAUGUGGUUGAGGUAGCAGUAGAGAAAGAUGUCUCAGAUAUAUUAAAAGAGGAUGUGGUAGAACAAGAGACAAGGAAAUCAAUAGGAGAAGUGGAGGUUGAAACCGUCUCAGGUUCAGCAUCUGUUCAAAAAAAGGUUAUGCAGGAAGAUGCUGAGAGUGACAAGCUAACUGAAGUAAUUAGUUCUGGAGAUGUUGAGGAGGGUGAUAUAGAAGAGGGGAAAAUCAUCAGUAACUGGGCAAAAGUAUCACUAGAUAACAUUGGCAGAAGUUUAGUGGGUAAAUCACAAGCUCUAUUAUUGGAACAAGGGAAAGUGAUUUCUCCAUCGAGAAUUUCAGUUCUACAAAAAGUUAUGGAAGAGGAGACUCAAACAAAUAAAUAUGCUGUAGAUAUGGAUGGGGAAAACAAGGAUCAGAAUUUGCACUCUGAGGACAAGAUCCACGAUGAUGCAUAAGGAAAAGAUGGUCAUUUGCAAAUGGAGAAUAAAGUUGAUAUUGCAGAUGAGGUAAUUGUAUGUUAUACGCAAAACUGGUGUGGAGAGCAGUACAUCACGUCAACUGUUACCAAGGGAUUCAAUGAGCAAACACAAGUUUCUCACGGUUGCUUCAGCCAAUAUUACGAGGGAUAGCAUCCCAAGUAAUGUCAAAAGAAGCACCCGGAGAUCAAAUCAAUGACUGGGGUUUUUUGGAAUAUGCGCGGAUUCAAUCAAACUACAAAAUAUGCUGCUGUCCGCGAUUGGAUAAACCAAAAUGAUCUGAAAUUUGGAGGUUUGUUGGAGACUAGGUUUAAGGAAAAGAAAGCAGAAGAUAUAGUUGGCAUGGUUUUUCAAGACUGGUCUUUCAUGUCAAAUUAUGAGUUUUAUUCUCUAGGUCGGAUAUGGAUUCUCUGGAGUUCAUCAGUACGUGUUUUCCGGUGUUUAAGAGUGACCAGCUAAUCACUAUUUCAGUUUUGUUGGAGGGUAGAUCAGAGGAGUUCUUUUGACGUUUUUGUCUACACAUCAAACUUUUUGGAAAGUAGGAAAGUCUUAUGGGCUGAUUUGAGAAACCAUCAAGAUUCUCCUAUGUUCAGGAAAAAACCAUGGCUAUUUAUGGGAGAUUUUAAUGAAAUUUUGGAUGGCAGGGAGUACAAAAACUAUACGACCUCGCCAUCAAUACUGGUUGGUAUGAGAGAAUUUCAAGAAGCUGCAAGAUAUUGCUCGAUGAUAGAUAUGAGCUAUCAUGGACCUCUUUUCACAAGGUGUAAUAAACGUGAUGAGGGAAUGGUGUGUAAGAAACUGGAUAGGGUCCUAAUGAACGAUGUGUGGAUGCACCAAUUUCCUCAGGUAUAUUGUGUAUUUGAACCGGGGGGCUGUUCUAAUCAUUUACGAUGUCGCAUUCAGUUUGACGAUGUCAAGGAAAAGAAACAUCGAUCAUUUAAGUUUACAAAUGCAGUGGCGAAGACAUCUCAAUUCAUUCCAGUCGUGGGAGGGUUUUGGAAUGAGACAUAUAAGCUGUUUCACUCGACAUCAGCUAUGCACAGAUUUUCCAAGAAACUCAAAGCUCUAAAGGCACUGCUAAGGAAGCUAAGCAAAGAAAAAUUAGCCAUCUUCCGGUAAGGGUUAAAGAUGCAUAUACUAGACUAUGUGAGAAGCAACAUAUAACUCUUGAUCGACCUUCUCCGGAGAGUGUUAAAGAGGAAGCAUAAGCGUAUGAUAAAUGGAAGAAAUUGGUACUAAUGGAAGAUGAUUUUUAUAAGCAGAAGUCCUAGCUUCACUGGCUGCAAGUUGGUGAUGGCAACAAUAAAGUGUUCCAUAAUGCUGCUAAGAUGAGGGAGGUCCGUAACUCCAUCCCGGAAGUAAAGUGUCCUAAUGGGAUUAUUGCCAACAAUGAUGAAGAUAUAAAAUUGGAGGCUGUCAGAUUUUUUCAGAAAUUUCUUACGCACAAGCCUGAUGACAUUGAAGAUAUUUCAAUAAACAUGCUUCAGGAACUUAUGCAGUUUCAGUGCAAUGACUUGGAGAAAGGUCAGUUGAUUAAGGAAGUGACCAGGGAAGAGAUUAAAAGAACUCUUUUUAAGAUGGAAGCUACAAGUCUCCAGGGUCGGAUGGAUAUACCUUUGAGUUCUUCAAAGAGGCUUGGUCAGUGGUAGGAGAAGAUUUUAUAGUCGCUGAGCAAUCAUUCUUUCUUAAAGGUUUUCUACCUAAAAAGUGUUGAUACCUAAGACGGAGGAUGCUCAGGAAAUAAAGGACUAUAGACCAAUCUUCUGUUGUAACGUCAUGUACAAAGUCAUCUCAAAAAUUCUUGCCAACGGAAUUAAAGGUUUGCUUCCCAAGUUCAUCACCCCAAAUCAGUCUGCUUUCAUUAAAGAGAGGCUAUUGAUGGAGAAUCUUCUUCUAGCAACUGAGCUAGUCAAGAACUACCACAAGGAUGAUCUCUCAGCUAGAUGUGCCAUCCAGAUUAAAAUCUAUAAGGCAUUUGAUUGAGUUCAGUGGCCUUUCCUCUUAAGAGUGUUGGAAGCUUUAGGACUCCCACAUCAGUUUGUUCACUGGAUUUGGUUGUGUAUAACCACUGCCUCUUUCUAUGUACAAGUCAACAGUGAACUUGUAGGCUACUUCCAGAGUGAGCGGGGAUUAAGACAAGGUUGUGCUUUAUCUCCCUAUUUGUUUGUGAUCUGCAUGAAUGUCCUUUCGAAAAUGAUUGACGAAACUGCGGUUCAGAGGAAAAUAGGAUAUCAUCUGAGAUGUCAAAUCAUUCCAAUAACGCAUCCCUGCUUUGCUGAUAAUAUAAUGGUCUUUGUGGACGGACAACAAAGAUAUAGAGAAGGAGUUCUGAGUGUUUUUAAGGAGUUUGGUAAGAUCUCAGGUCUCAGGAUAAGCUUAGAGAAGUCGACAUUGUAUAUGGAAGGAAUAUCACAAGAAGCACAAAACUCUAUCCUCACGGAUUUCCCAUUUUCAGCUGGACAGCUCCCAGUUCGGUAUCUCGGCUUACCAGUCCUAACCAAGAGAAUGACAGUGAACAAUUAUCUGCCACUUAUGGAGAAGAUUCAGACAUGAAUGUGUAAUUGGAAUGGACGCUUCCUUUCGCAGGCAGGCAGGCAGGCUACAACUCAUUAACUCGGUGAUUAUGAGUAUUACAAAUUUUUGGGUGUCUGCUUUCAGGUUACCAAAAGCAUGUUUAAAGGAGAUUGAAAUUUGUAGACCGAAAGUAUCAUGGACAUAAAUUUGUAGACCGAAAGCUGAAGGCGUGUUACAUAUUCGAUCAUUGGUAGAAGCAAACAAUGUCCCAUGUCUGAAGCUAAUUUGGAGAUUGCUCUCAGCAAACCAAUCACUUUGGGUAUAAUGGAUCAAGAUAUAUCUCAUAAGGAAAGGGUCGUUCUGGCCUGUAAGUGAAACAACAAGCGCUGGUUCUUGGAUGUGAGCUAAAUUACUGAAACGGAGAAGAUUGGCAAGAUGUUUUCAUCGAGUUGAAGUUUGCAAUGGAGAAUACAUCUUUUUGGCAUGACACUUGGUCUUCAUUGGGUUGUCUCUCAGAUAUUCUAGAAGAGCGAGGAGUAAUUGAUCUUGGUCUUCAUACUCACGCUACAGUUCAAGAAGCUAUGAUGUCCUACAGAAGAAGAAGGCACAAAACAAUAAUUCUUAAUAUAAUUGAGGAUGAAAUUGACGAGAGGAAAGCAAAUGCGGAUAAUGCAGAGGAUGUUAGCCUGUGGAAAGGUAUUGGAGGAAUGUACAAGAAGAGGUUUUCAACAAAAACCACUUGGAUGCUACUCAGAGAUCAACAACCACUGUGUCAAUGGAGCAAAGGAGUGUGGCUUCGUCAUUCUACACCUAAGUUUGCUUUCAUGACUUGGUGUACUCUGAAAAAUCAACUUGCAACAGGAGACUGCAUGCUUAAAUGGGGAGGAAAUGUUGAUGGGAGUUGUUCUCUCUGUCAAGAUCCUAUUGAAACACGAUACCAUCUUUUUUUCAAGUGACCCUUCUCAGCUGAGGUGUGGAAGAAACUUCUAAGACCAAUUUUAGGAGAUCGAAUACACAAAUUAUUAGCCUGAUAUUAUUGAGUUGAUAUCUGAAAUAGAUGGAGAUAUGCUGAUUUGCUUUAUUAUUAAAUAUCUCUUUCAAGCAACUACUGUCCACAGCAUAUGGAGAAAAAUAAAUAAAAGGAGGCAUGGGGAAGCUCAUUUUACACCAGUGCAGCUAGUUAAAUUCAUUGAUAAAGGAAUCAGAAACCAUUUUAACUCUAUUAUGAUGAUGAGAGACAUGAGAUAUGAAGGUGGCUUAAGAUUAGGGCUGGGCGCAAGGCGAGUACUCGCUAUUUUGCGUGUACUUGCGACUUCACUUGCCUUGUACGAGUAAUAAAAUUUUCGACUUGUACUUGUUAAAAACGAGUACUUGCUAUUUCGAGUACUUGAUUAAAAUGAAUUACUUGCAAGUUACUUGCCCCGCUUUAUUACUUACUAUUUACGAGUACUUGUGAACAAUUACGAGUAUUUGUGAACUAUUUACGAAUUUUUCUAAGUAUUUAAGAACUACUUACUAAAUAAUAAUCUAUUAGAAAUAGACAUGUGAAUUACUUAAAUGAAUAUUUGUUCAAAAUAUGUGAAUAUUUCGAUACAUAAACAUUGUUUAAUUUUUAUGAUGACAAAAAUGUAUUCUAUAUAAACAAGUAACAUGUAAUAGUAACAAGUCAUGUAGCUAAAAUUUUAAAACUUGUUACUAUAUAAUAUUUGAUUAGAUGACAACAAAUAUUUAAAAAUCAAGACAAAUACGAAACAAGUAAUAAGUAUAAGAAGAGUAAUGAGUAUUUGUGUCCAAUUCUAAAUGCAAGUAAAAGAAAAAACAAAUAUGAACAACUAUUUAAUAGAUCAUGUAACAAAUAACAAAUAAUUGGACAAGUAA